GGAAAGAAAGUCCACAAGCCACCUACACAGGAGAGAACCCUCAAGGAUGGCAUGGGGUUUCAUCCAAGAUCUGAAGACAGGGAAUGAAAUGGAAGUGUCAGAGAACAGCGGCCAGGAGAUUGAGUGUCUGCGUCUUGCAGGACAAGAGCACUGUGAGUAAUUUAAGUUAAUCUACAAUAACGUGAUUAAGAUGAUU